rnacentral:misc_RNA from 1 species
GGAAUUGUAUGUAUCGAUGCGCGCUAAAACGGAGGCGGAGCACCUCUCUAAUCGGAAAUGGGAAAUUCUCUCAUUUUCUCGUACUUUCCCAUUUGCCGAACGGAUUUAAUCAAACUCCCUCCAAACACUCCCACAGCCAAAAUUAAAAUUGUUAUGCAAUCCCAAGAGUCCAGCAGCGGUGACAGUAAUAAUAGCAAAAUGGCUUCUCCAUCUCUUUCAAUUCCGGACUGGGAUCAGCCCCUCACAAAGGAGGAGCUCCAAGCUAUUGAUGCCAUCGAAGCCUCAUUUCAACGAUCCACAUCCAAGACCACUACUCCUUAGUCUUCCGUUAUCGGGAUACGACAUUCACCUCCCCAAAAUGACCUAGACCUCCGAAAAACUAGCCAGUUGCCCAAUUCCGAUCUGGGUCUAUCUGGACCCUUUUCGAUAUCUCCUUGUCUAGGUACUUAUUAUUCUUUGCUCGUCUCUUGUAUACAC